rnacentral:rRNA from 1 species
GAUGAACGCUGGCGGCGUGCCUAAUACAUGCAAGUCGAGCGAACAGACGAGGAGCUUGCUCCUCUGACGUUAGCGGCGGACGGGUGAGUAACACGUGGAUAACCUACCUAUAAGACUGGGAUAACUUCGGGAAACCGGAGCUAAUACCGGAUAAUAUAUUGAACCGCAUGGUUCAAUAGUGAAAGACGGUUUUGCUGUCACUUAUAGAUGGAUCCGCGCCGCAUUAGCUAGUUGGUAAGGUAACGGCUUACCAAGGCGACGAUGCGUAGCCGACCUGAGAGGGUGAGCGGCCACUCUGGAACUGAGACACGGUCCAGACUCCUACGGGAGGCAGCAGUAGGGAAUCUUCCGCAAUGGGCGAAAGCCUGACGGAGCAACGCCGCGUGAGUGAUGAAGGUCUUCGGAUCGUAAAACUCUGUUAUUAGGGAAGAACAAAUGUGUAAGUAACUAUGCACGUCUUGACGGUACCUAAUCAGAAAGCCACGGCUAACUACGUG